AUAGCGGAGGAAAAGAAACCAACAGGGAUUGCCCUAGUAACGGCGAGUGAAGCGGCAACAGCUCAAAUUUGAAAUCUGGCUCUUUCAGGGUCCGAGUUGUAAUUUGCAGAGGGCGCUUUGGCGUUGGCAGCGGUCCAAGUUCUUUGGAACAGGACGUCACAGAGGGUGAGAAUCCCGUACGUGGUCGCUAGCCUUCGCCGUGUAAAGCCCCUUCGACGAGUCGAGUUGUUUGGGAAUGCAGCUCUAAAUGGGAGGUAAAUUUCUUCUAAAGCUAAAUACUGGCCAGAGACCGAUAGCGCACAAGUAGAGUGAUCGAAAGAUGAAAAGCACUUUGGAAAGAGAGUCAAAUAGCACGUGAAAUUGUUGAAAGGGAAGCGCUUGCAGCCAGACUUGCCUGUAGUUGCUUAUCCGGACUUUUGUCCGGUGCACUCUUCUGCGGGCAGGCCAGCAUCAGUCUAGGCGGUUGGAUAAAGGUCUCUGUCAUGUACCUCUCUUCGGGGAGGCCUUAUAGGGGAGACGACAUGCAACCAGCCUGGACUGAGGUCCGCGCAUCUGCUAGGAUGCUGGCGUAAUGGCUGUAAGCGGCCCGUCUUGAAACACGGACCAAGGAGUCUAACAUCUAUGCGAGUGUUUGGGUGUCAAGCCCAGACGCGUAAUGAAAGUGAACGGAGGUGGGAACCCUUUGGGUGCACCAUCGACCGAUCCUGAUGUCUUCGGAUGGAUUUGAGUAAGAGCAUGGCUGUUGGGACCCGAAAGAUGGUGAACUAUGCUUGAAUAGGGUGAAGCCAGAGGAAACUCUGGUGGAGGCUCGCAGCGGUUCUGACGUGCAAAUCGAUCGUCAAAUUUGGGCAUAGGGGCGAAAGACUAAUCGAACUAUCUAGUAGCUGGUUCCUGCC
rnacentral:rRNA from 1 species